AAUGAGUGUGUGGGUUAGUGGAAGCGUCUGGAAAGGCGCGCGAUACAGGGUGACAGCCCCGUACACAAAAAUACACAUAUUGUGAGCUCGAUGAGUAGGGCGGGACACGUGGUAUCCUGUCUGAAUAUGGGGGGACCAUCCUCCAAGGCUAAAUACUCCUGACUGACCGAUAGUGAACCAGUACCGUGAGGGAAAGGCGAAAAGAACCCCGGCGAGGGGAGUGAAAAAGAACCUGAAACCGUGUACGUACAAGCAGUGGGAGCACGCUUAGGCGUGUGACUGCGUACCUUUUGUAUAAUGGGUCAGCGACUUAUAUUCUGUAGCAAGGUUAACCGAAUAGGGGAGCCGAAGGGAAACCGAGUCUUAACUGGGCGUUAAGUUGCAGGGUAUAGACCCGAAACCCGGUGAUCUAGCCAUGGGCAGGUUGAAGGUUGGGUAACACUAACUGGAGGACCGAACCGACUAAUGUUGAAAAAUUAGCGGAUGACUUGUGGCUGGGGGUGAAAGGCCAAUCAAACCGGGAGAUAGCUGGUUCUCCCCGAAAGCUAUUUAGGUAGCGCCUCGUGAAUUCAUCUCCGGGGGUAGAGCACUGUUUCGGCAAGGGGGUCAUCCCGACUUACCAACCCGAUGCAAACUGCGAAUACCGGAGAAUGUUAUCACGGGAGACACACGGCGGGUGCUAACGUCCGUCGUGAAGAGGGAAACAACCCAGACCGCCAGCUAAGGUCCCAAAGUCAUGGUUAAGUGGGAAACGAUGUGGGAAGGCCCAGACAGCCAGGAUGUUGGCUUAGAAGCAGCCAUCAUUUAAAGAAAGCGUAAUAGCUCACUGGUCGAGUCGGCCUGCGCGGAAGAUGUAACGGGGCUAAACCAUGCACCGAAGCUGCGGCAGCGACGCUUAUGCGUUGUUGGGUAGGGGAGCGUUCUGUAAGCCUGCGAAGGUGUGCUGUGAGGCAUGCUGGAGGUAUCAGAAGUGCGAAUGCUGACAUAAGUAACGAUAAAGCGGGUGAAAAGCCCGCUCGCCGGAAGACCAAGGGUUCCUGUCCAACGUUAAUCGGGGCAGGGUGAGUCGACCCCUAAGGCGAGGCCGAAAGGCGUAGUCGAUGGGAAACAGGUUAAUAUUCCUGUACUUGGUGUUACUGCGAAGGGGGGACGGAGAAGGCUAUGUUGGCCGGGCGACGGUUGUCCCGGUUUAAGCGUGUAGGCUGGUUUUCCAGGCAAAUCCGGAAAAUCAAGGCUGAGGCGUGAUGACGAGGCACUACGGUGCUGAAGCAACAAAUGCCCUGCUUCCAGGAAAAGCCUCUAAGCAUCAGGUAACAUCAAAUCGUACCCCAAACCGACACAGGUGGUCAGGUAGAGAAUACCAAGGCGCUUGAGAGAACUCGGGUGAAGGAACUAGGCAAAAUGGUGCCGUAACUUCGGGAGAAGGCACGCUGAUAUGUAGGUGAAGUCCCUUGCGGAUGGAGCUGAAAUCAGUCGAAGAUACCAGCUGGCUGCAACUGUUUAUUAAAAACACAGCACUGUGCAAACACGAAAGUGGACGUAUACGGUGUGACGCCUGCCCGGUGCCGGAAGGUUAAUUGAUGGGGUCAGCGCAAGCGAAGCUCUUGAUCGAAGCCCCGGUAAACGGCGGCCGUAACUAUAACGGUCCUAAGGUAGCGAAAUUCCUUGUCGGGUAAGUUCCGACCUGCACGAAUGGCGUAAUGAUGGCCAGGCUGUCUCCACCCGAGACUCAGUGAAAUUGAACUCGCUGUGAAGAUGCAGUGUACCCGCGGCAAGACGGAAAGACCCCGUGAACCUUUACUAUAGCUUGACACUGAACAUUGAGCCUUGAUGUGUAGGAUAGGUGGGAGGCUUUGAAGUGUGGACGCCAGUCUGCAUGGAGCCGGCCUUGAAAUACCACCCUUUAAUGUUUGAUGUUCUAACGUGGACCCGUGAUCCGGGUUGCGGACAGUGUCUGGUGGGUAGUUUGACUGGGGCGGUCUCCUCCUAAAGAGUAACGGAGGAGCACGAAGGUUGGCUAAUCCUGGUCGGACAUCAGGAGGUUAGUGCAAUGGCAUAAGCCAGCUUGACUGCGAGCGUGACGGCGCGAGCAGGUGCGAAAGCAGGUCAUAGUGAUCCGGUGGUUCUGAAUGGAAGGGCCAUCGCUCAACGGAUAAAAGGUACUCCGGGGAUAACAGGCUGAUACCGCCCAAGAGUUCAUAUCGACGGCGGUGUUUGGCACCUCGAUGUCGGCUCAUCACAUCCUGGGGCUGAAGUAGGUCCCAAGGGUAUGGCUGUUCGCCAUUUAAAGUGGUACGCGAGCUGGGUUUAGAACGUCGUGAGACAGUUCGGUCCCUAUCUGCCGUGGGCGCUGGAGAACUGAGGGGGGCUGCUCCUAGUACGAGAGGACCGGAGUGGACGCAUCACUGGUGUUCGGGUUGUCAUGCCAAUGGCACUGCCCGGUAGCUAAAUGCGGAAGAGAUAAGUGCUGAAAGCAUCUAAGCACGAAACUUGCCCCGAGAUGAGUUCUCCCUGACCCUUUAAGGGUCCUGAAGGAACGUUGAAGACGACGACGUUGAUAGGCCGGGUGUGUAAGCGCAGCGAUGCGUUGAGCUAACCGGUACUAAUGAACCGUGAGGCUUAACCUUACAACGCCGAAG
rnacentral:rRNA from 1 species